rnacentral:rRNA from 1 species
AUUCCUACGGGAGGCAGCAGUGGGGAAUAUUGGACAAUGGGCGCAAGCCUGAUCCAGCCAUGCCGCGUGGGUGAAGAAGGCCUUCGGGUUGUAAAGCCCUUUUGUCCGGGAAGAAAUCGUCUGGGCUAAUACCCCGGGCGGAUGACGGUACCGGAAGAAUAAGCACCGGCUAACUUCGUGCCAGCAGCCGCGGUAAUACGAAGGGUGCAAGCGUUACUCGGAAUUACUGGGCGUAAAGCGUGCGUAGGCGGUUCGUUAAGUCCGAUGUGAAAGCCCUGGGCUCAACCUGGGAACUGCAUUGGAAACUGGCGGGCUGGAGUGCGGUAGAGGGUGGCGGAAUUCCCGGUGUAGCAGUGAAAUGCGUAGAUAUCGGGAGGAACAUCCGUGGCGAAGGCGGCCACCUGGACCAGCACUGACGCUGAGGCACGAAAGCGUGGGGAGCAAACAGGAUUAGAUACCCUGGUAGUCCACGCCCUAAACGAUGCGAACUGGAUGUUGGGUGCAACUUGGCACUCAGUAUCGAAGCUAACGCGUUAAGUUCGCCGCCUGGGAAGUACGGUCGCAAGACUGAAACUCAAAGGAAUUGACGGAAU